rnacentral:ncRNA from 1 species
GGGUACCGCUACCUACCUACCUACGCUUGCUUCGACGUUCGGUAUAAACGUCGGGCUCGCG